UGGGGAAUCUUCCGCAAUGGACGAAAGUCUGACGGAGCAACGCCGCGUGAGUGAAGACGGCCUUCGGGUUGUAAAGCUCUGUGAUCCGGGACGAAAGAGCCUGAGGUGAAUAGCCUAAGGAAGUGACGGUACCGGAAAAGCAAGCCACGGCUAACUACGUGCCAGCAGCCGCGGUAAUACGUAGGUGGCAAGCGUUGUCCGGAAUUAUUGGGCGUAAAGCGCGCGCAGGCGGCUUCCUAAGUCCAUCUUAAAAGUGCGGGGCUUAACCCCGUGAUGGGAUGGAAACUGGGAAGCUGGAGUAUCGGAGAGGAAAGUGGAAUUCCUAGUGUAACGGUGAAAUGCGUAGAGAUUAGGAAGAACACCGGUGGCGAAGGCGACUUUCUGGACGAAAACUGACGCUGAGGCGCGAAAGCGUGGGGAGCAAACAG
rnacentral:rRNA from 1 species